rnacentral:tRNA from 1 species
GGCUCAAUGGUCUAGUAGUAUGAUUCCUGCUUCGGGUUUUGAACAUCCGCAUGGGAUCUUCCCAUGCUACAACUGCAGGAGGUCUCGGGUUCAAUUCCCGAUUGAGCCC